UACGGGGGGGGCAAGCGUUGUUCGGAUUUACUGGGCGUAAAGCGCACGUAGGCGGCGCCGUAAGUCAGGGGUGAAAUCCCGGAGCUCAACUCCGGAACUGCCCUUGAAACUGCAGUGCUAGAAUCUUGGAGAGGCGAGUGGAAUUCCGAGUGUAGAGGUGAAAUUCGUAGAUAUUCGGAAGAACACCAGUGGCGAAGGCGACUCGCUGGACAAGUAUUGACGCUGAGGUGCGAAAGCGUGGGGAGCAAACAGG
rnacentral:rRNA from 1 species